AAAGAAACUAAAUUUUGUUUUUCCUUUUUAGAUGAAGUAUAUUCUAUAAACAAAUGUAGAAAAUACAGAAAAUAGGAUUAAAAAUACUCAUUUGUGCCUGGGAUUAAUCUUAAGGAAUCUCUGAGAUUGCUUUAAUGGAAUUCCUCUCUUCCUAUACUUUGUGGGAAUUCCUUCACAGACAGGCAUAACAAUUUCCCUCAACUCACUUGUUCCUUUGACUUGGCGGUUUCCACACAGUCACUAUCAAUGAGCUAAUCCUGAAGAGCUGUUUUCAGAACACAGCUCUGACUACCUAUUACUCAGGUAUACAAGAUCCUAGAAUCAUAUGAUUUCAUUUGCUAUAUGAAAGGGUCUUGCUCUGUUGCCCAGGCUGGAGUGCAGUG